rnacentral:tRNA from 1 species
GCACCCGUAGCUCAGCUGGAUAGAGCGCUGCCCUCCGAAGGCAGAGGUCACAGGUUCGAAUCCUGUCGGGUGC